AUGAACACAGCAUUGAUGGAGCCAUACAUGCGGGAGGAGGUACGGAAGGCCUUGUUUUAGAUUGGGGAUAUGAAGGCACCCGGGCCUGAUGGACUGCAUGCAAUUUUCUUCAAACACUUCUGGCACAUCCUAGGCGAUGAACUUACGGACGAGGUGCUAGAGGCAGUCCACAACAGGAAGAUACCGACCGGUUGGAAUCAAACUAAUAUUGUGUUAAUUCCUAAGGUUGAUAGCCCGGAGGUAAUCACUCAAUAUCGACCUAUUAGUUUGUGCAACGUUGUCUAUAAAAUCAUAUAAAAAAUGAUUGCAAACAGACUCAAGAAGAUACUUCGAGAGGUAAUUUCUCCAACACAGAGUGAUUUUGUCCCUGGAAGACUUAUAACUGACAAUGUGUUAGUAGCUUAUGAAUGCUUUCAUGCAAUAAAGAAGAAGACCCAUGGAUCGAAUGGAAUUUGUGCAGUAAAAUUGGACAUGAUGAAGGCAUAUGAUAGAGUAGAAUGGGGUUUUCUAGAACAAAUGAUGCUGAAAUUGGGGUUUCACUCGGUCUGGGUGGAAAUGAUAAUGCAAUGUGUCUCCUCAGUGACUUAUAAAAUAAGGUUCAAUGGAGUGGAAACAGAGGAGAUUAUACCAUCAAGAGGCUUACGGCAGGGAGAUCCUCUAUCUCCUUACUUGUUUUUGAUCUGUUCAGAACGGCUUUCUAGCCUAUUAGCUCAUGAAGAAGAAGUGGGUGGCAUUGAAGGGAUACAUGUUUGCAGAGAUGCACCAUCUAUUUCCCACUUGCUUUUCGCAGAUGAUUCGUUGAUUCUUAUGAAAGCAAAUGUCCAGAAUGCAAACACACUGAAAAGAAUUCUAGAAGUUUACUGUGGGAGUAGUGGUCAGUGUGUAAGUACUCCUAAAUCGAGUAUUUUCUUCAGUCCGAAUACAAGUGUGCUGGUUAGAGAGGAGGUAUGUGUAAAUCUGAAUAUUCUAACUGAGGCACUAACAGAUAAAUACCUGGGUCUUCCCACUAUUGUGGGAGUCGAUAGAAGUGACUGUUUUUAACACCUUAUUGAUAGAAUUUGCCAGAGAAUUAAGGGUUGGAAGGAGAAGAUGCUCUCAAUGAAGGGGAAAGAGAUUUUGUUGAAGGCAGUGGCCCAGGCAAUCCCCUCUUAUGCUAUGUCCGUUUUUAAACUCCCCAAAAAUAUUUGCAAGGCAAUUACAUAUGAGAUUGCAGGUUUUUGGUGGGGGGAUAGUGAGGAAAAGAAGAAGAUGCAUUAG
rnacentral:rRNA from 1 species